rnacentral:rRNA from 1 species
GAUGAACGCUAGCUACAGGCUUAACACAUGCAAGUCGAGGGACCGGCACACGGGUGAGUAACACGUAUCCAACCUGCCCUUUACUCGCGGAUAGCCUUUCGAAAGAAAGAUUAAUACCCGAUGUAAAGGGUGGGGAUGCGUUCGAUUAGGUUGUGGGUGAGGUAACGGCUCACCAAGCCGUCGAUGGAUAGGUGUUCUGAGAGGAAGGGCCGGCACGUUGGAAAUGAGGCACGGUAGAAACGCGUAGGGGAGGGGGGAGUGAGGAGUAUUGGUGAAUGGGCGUUGGCCGGAACAAGCGAAGUAGCGGGAAGGGUGAAGGCUUAUGGGGCGUAAGCUUCUUGUAUAUAAGAAUAUGUAUUAUAUGAGUAAGGAUGGGCUAACUCCGUGCGAGCAGCCGCGGUAAUAC